UUCCGGUUGAUCCUGCCGGAGGUCACUGCUAUCGGGGUUCGAUUAAGCCAUGCGAGUCGAGAGGGUUCAGACCCUCGGCGGACUGCUCAGUAACACGUGGAUAAUCUGCCCUAUGGUGGAGGAUAACCCCGGGAAACUGGGGAUAAUACUCCAUAAGUCAGGAGUACUGGAAUGUCUCCUAACUGAAAGUUUCGGCGCCAUAGGAUGAAUCUGCGGCCGAUUAGGUAGUUGUUGGGGUAACGGCCCAACAAGCCCGUAAUCGGUACGGGUUGUGGGAGCAAGAGCCCGGAGAUGGAAUCUGAGACACGAUUCCAGGCCCUACGGGGCGCAGCAGGCGCGAAAACUUUACAAUGCAGGAAACUGUGAUAAGGGAACCCCGAGUGCCCGUACACGCGGGCUGUCCCGGUGUUUAAAACACAUCGGAAGAAAGGGCCGGGCAGGACCGGUGCCAGCCGCCGCGGUAAUACCGGCGGCUCGAGUGGUGACCACUUUUAUUGGGCUUAAAGCGUUCGUAGCUUGAUUUUUAAGUCUCUUGGGAAAUCUCACGGCUUAACUGUGAGGCGUCUAAGAGAUACUGGGAAUCUAGGGACCGGGAGAGGUAAGAGGUACUUCAGGGGUAGAAGUGAAAUUCUGUAAUCCUUGAGGGACCACCGAUGGCGAAGGCAUCUUACCAGAACGGCUUCGACAGUGAGGAACGAAAGCUGGGGGAGCGAACGGGAUUAGAUACCCCGGUAGUCCCAGCCGUAAACUAUGCGCGUUAGGUGUGCCUGUAACUACGAGUUACCGGGGUGCCGAAGUGAAAACGUGAAACGUGCCGCCUGGGAAGUACGGUCCCAAGGCUGAAACUUAAAGGAAUUGGCGGGGGAGCACCACAACGGGUGGAGCCUGCGGUUUAAUUGGAUUCAACGCCGGA
rnacentral:rRNA from 1 species